ensembl:lncRNA
CAGAAACAGAAGGUUCCACAUUCUUCAGGCUCAAAGGGGGCUCCGGCGCUCGGGGGCAGAAGCGGAGAACUGGCCUGCCGAUCUUCCUCACGAGGAGGUGAGGGGGGAGGCGUGGGAACUCAGAGGCUGUGUGACAGAAGAGAGUGGCUCCCCUCUCCUCAGAGCCUCCCUCACCACAUUUAGCAGCGUCUGCAAGAAACGGAGGAAGGCGUCUGGGUUGGUGGGCUCCGUAGCCUUUGGCCUUCCCGCCCUGUCCAACGAGCAGGACCUGAAGCCAGGUGGCUGGAACGAGAGUGCCAGCGUCAGAAGAACUAAAGAUGCAUCUACCUCUGCCGUAAGCCCAGCAAUGAGGCCACGGAGAGGAGAGACUGGGCUGCAGGCGCACCUGACACCACUGAGCCAUGAGCCAAAUCGGGGCGACAACAAGAGGAUGUGGCACCAGGCCACCACUGGGGGACGUCGGAAAGAUGGGGUCCAGGCUCGCAAAGCUUAGAAAUUGCUGAGCUCCCAACAGACCCCUGGGGGCUUGUUGGGGUUUCCACUUCUCCACACCAAACCCACGGUCAACAUCUGCACCAGGCAAUGACCUCCUGAAAGAAAGCAAGCAAGCCCCUGUCCCAUCCCUCCAGCCAACCCCCGCCACCACCACCACACAGGGGAAAUGCACAGAGAGGGAGGGUGUGCGAGCAAACAGACCACGCCUUCCUCCUCUCCAAGCCUCGGCUCCAGGGACACGGCCAGGGCUGGGAGGAGGCAAGGAGCUCUGAAUGGACUCUGAAGUUGAAGUUGAAAUUGCAAAAUGAAUGAGAGUAAGUUCCAAUAACCAGGAGACUGUUGCAAUAAGCAGAAGUGAGUGCAAAAUUAUGGAACCCAAUUGAGAAGUUGCCAAGGGAACCUGCUGCCCAGGUCAUGGUCAACACAGCACAGCCAGUAGGCAUUACUAGAAAACAAAGUGGUUUUCGUGUUUAUUCUCCAAUAAAGUGAGACCUCCCAAUCUAAGCUCUAAAGCACCAACGGUGAGUUUAAGGCACAUCCAUCCUUGCCCGUAUGGGCCAAGAAUCAAGGCAGUGAGGGCCAUGGUUGGGUGCAGAGCCUCCAGUCAGUAAGAACCACUGUGAGACCUGGCACCGCUGCUAUCAGCGGUGUGGCCCCGGGCAAGCCCAAGACAGCUGUGCUUCCGUUUCCUCAUUCGUAAAGUGGAGAUGCUGCAGAGUUCUUGGGAGAAUUAUCUAAGAGAAGUGGUGUAAAGCAUUUAGCCCAUGUCUGGUAGACGGCUCAGGCCCGGCGCUCUCCUCUCACCUCCACAGUCUCCUUGGGAGACUGAACUUCUUUUCACCUCUUUCAACACCAUCGAUGGGCCCACAGCUCCCAGAGACGCAGCUCAACCCGGGUGGUCUUCCUGAGCCCACCUGCAGGCUUACAGACCCAGCGCUGACUUGACAGCUCCCUCAUGUGUCUCAUGGCAUCUCAAACAUGUCCAAAGCUUGAUCUUCUCUGGACACCUCCUAUCAAUGGAAUAGUGCAGACUGGCCUUCUGCGUCUGGCUCUUGUCGCUCAGGUGGUGUCUCCCAGGUUCGCCCCCUCUGCUGCGGUGUCAGUGUGUCCAGACUUCACUCCUGUUUAUUCUGUGCUCCCACUCUUGCCUCCGAUUUAUUUUCACAAAGAUGCCAAAGUAAUCUUUUAAAGGUGCAUUAUUCUCUUGUUUAGAACUUUUCAUCGACCGCCUCCUGUUCUCAGGAUAAAGCGCAGCCCUCCUGACACAGCCUUCCUGGGCCCGCACCACGGGGCCUCUCACAUCACUGCCCCGCCGUCUUGCUCACCGUCUCCCCCCAGCUCACUUUUCCAGCUGCCUGGCUCGCUCUCAGUUCUGUUGGAGCUUUGUCCUGUCACACGUUUCUUCGACCUGGGAUGCUCUCCUCCCAACUUUGCCUUCCUCAGAGCAACCUUCCUGACUCCUCCAUCUAAACUACGGUGCCCCACUUUUGCUCAGAGUGCCCUGUUAUUUUGCUUUCUAGCACACGUCACAAUGUGUAAUGAAGCAGGGAGUCUAUCUGUUUAAUAUCCUGCGGGGCUGUAAGUUCCACGACGUCAGGAACCAGCUCUCUCUUCUUACCAGUCUCAUCUGUGUCCAGCCCUGUGCCUACCACAGGGCAGUUGCUCAAAAAAUACUGAUGACUGAGUGAAUGAAUGAAUGGACUUUCCAGAGCGGAAACAGUAGGAAACGGUAACUCGACUGCUUCCACUAUUAAAGCGCCUAAUCUAAAAUUGCUCAGCCCGCCGAAGCCCUCAUUUACCCUUAUCAUCACCACUAUCAUCAACAGCGACUUCCUGCUGACCUAAUGGUGGCGGCAUUGUGGCAGCCUCAGAAAAAAUCACACUUUCUGGGUAAUUCCAGUUCUCCUACAAUUUUCACUCCAGGCAGCUGGAAGCUGGAGGCUAGCAGCCAGCCCCAUGAAGAAUGACUGCUGGGCAACAGAGACCAUGGGACAUGGGACGAUUUCCUGGCUCCUAUCCUUCUGUCGGCAAAGUCACCCUUACAGCAUGCUUCUCAAGCUUCCCUGUUCACAAUGCUCUUCAAAGGCAAAGACACCUCCCUCGCAGCUCCUGCUCACCAUGCUGACAGAAAUAGAGAAUUCAAGAGAAGGAUGGCCCUGCUUUAACUGAGACACCAAAUGAGGACCAUCAUGAGUAAUUACUAAUUCACACCAGCAACAAAAACCCAGCACUAACAUUCACCCUGCCAGAGAGCAGCCUUGCGGAACACCAGGGCACCUGGACCACACUUCGAGAACAUCUCUCUAAAAGGAUUUGGGAAUUUCCUGCUAACCUCCCUGACUUUAUUAUUGUGGUCCCAGAUGAAACCCAACCCAGUUAAGUUAGAAACAUUUUUAACCAAAAGCAGAGCCAUCCCUGCUAUGCGCAGCUCACGGCUCUGCAUUGCCGCUCCACUGUCCGGGCCUUUGGUGCCUCUGUCAGCUGGCACCAUCUUCUUCCUCCUUUGAUGUGGUUCCUCAUUUGAGCAUGUCUUGGUCUGAGUGCAUCUGGAGCUAACAAACUAGGUCCAUUAGUUCUAGUGCUCCAGGGCUUAAAAACGGAGGCCACAAGUGGGCUUUGAAAAGAAUAAGAGACCACAAAUAGAGCUGUUAACAUUCUUUACCCUGGCUCACCCCCGCAGAGGAGCCCCAAGAUCCGCAGAACAUUGGGUGAUACAUUCAGCUAGUCCAUGAACAAACAUUUGCUGAGCAUUACCAAGUGCCAGGCACUGGGCUGGGGACCCAGGAUACAAUGGUGGACAAGACAGAUACAGUCUUUGUCCUGCUGGAGUUUACAGCCUAGCUGGCAAUAAGUCAACCACUAUACUACUUAGUAAUUGCUAUGACGAGGGAGAUAAAGGAUCCUUGGGAGCUCAUAGGAGGGACCACGCAUCAAGACCUGGGGAGGAAAGUCAGAGAAGGCUGCUUUGUAGAAGCAGAGAGGUGAAGGAUAAGUAGAAAUAACAAAUAAAGUGAACAGGGUGGAGUAAAAAGUGCACAGAUAGAGGGAGUACAUAUGCAAGGGACCAGCAGUAAAAGAAUUUAAGGAACUAGAAUGAAGUUUAAGCUGGGUGGCGGGGAGAAGAGUUAGGAGAGAUGAUGCUGGAAAGAUAAGAAGCAGAUCUGGCAUGGUCUUGUAAGUUACUUCAAAGAGUUUGACAUUUAUUCUAAGGGUUUUGAGGAGCCAGAACAGGAUUUGAAAUAGGGGAGGGGGAAAUUUGCAUUUUCUAAAGAUCUCUUUGACUGUGUAGGGGAGGAGGACAUUUCCUCUCCCCAAAUGUGGGUUCGUCUGGCCGGAGAACAAAUUAAAGUCACAUGAGACAGAAUAGCAAGAGAAAAUUAAACAAAGCUUUAUGAGGACCAUGGCCCGGGGCCUUUCUUCCCGAAGGAAGAAAGGGCACCAAAGAAGUGGGGUGCACACAGUGGUUAUAUACCCCCAAACAGGGUGUUUCACAUGUGAUUGAAAUGUCCCUCCCGCAAUAGUCACAAGAUUGCCCCGUCAGCACAGUGCUUGAUGGACACAGCAGGUAGUGGGUCUGCUAUCUCCGUGGGCGUAGCAGGAGGCAAGUCUGUUGUCUGGAGCUGGGCAGUCACAGGUGAGCGCAGCAAUCAGUUCCUAGCCUAAGGAAAGAUGCUUAAUCUUUAAGGAGAUGCCAACGUUGGGAGGGGGAGGGAAGUCAGUUACAGGAGGUUACCAGACUAGCACAAUAAAAUGCAGAUUUAAGUCCUUGCCUUUGGUAUUGAUUAAGAGUUUCUAGAGAGAAGGUCAUCUUCUUCCUGGUACAGAGAGGGAGGCAACUUUUACAGAUAGAGAUUUACCUUACAAAUGUAAAUGUGUCCUAACAAAGGGCAAGUUCCAUUCCUCAGAGCCUCCUUCCCUGUCCCAGUUUAUCAAAAGCAAUCAGCCUCAAAUAAUCCUGAUGCCAAAGAGACAUAUCUUGGGGUGGCCAUUUCCAGGUCCCUACAACUGCAACACAAACAAUGUGUGAGAGGGGGCAAUAAUGGUGGUGCAGACCAGCUAGGGGCUCUUCCAAAAAGCCAAGUGGGUGAUAAUUAGUAAUUGACUCAACUAGGAUAAUGAAUGGUAAUGGGUACGGAGAAAAGAGGACAGAGUUAUUUUGGAGCAAGAAGACUUGGUGACGGGAAUGAGGGGGGGUUGGAGGAAAGAGGGAUCAUGAUGACACUCUGGCUCAAGCAAGUGAACAAUCAUGUAAUUUAUGGACAUUGACAAGCCCGAGGAGGAACAGGUUUGGAAGGAAGAUAAGUCCAGUUUUGCACAUGUUGGUUUGUAGGUGUCAGAAGGACAUUCACAGGUGGUUGUCAUGUACGUAGUUGAGUCUGGAGCUCAGGAGAGAAAUCUGGGUUCUAUCACCACAUUUGGAUGCCAAGAGCAUGUAUUUGCUUUCUGAAGCUCUGAUAGUUAAUAAUCCACUCAGGGAAAGCCCUUCCUGGUGCAGGAGCAAUUAAGCAGAGCCUGAAGGACAAGUAGGAUUAACAAGUGAAGUAAAAGGGUGGGAAGGAGAAGCAUGCAAGACGAAGGAGCAACGCAUUCCAAGGCCUCGAACACAGAAAAUUUGGGCAACUACCAUCGGUUCAGUAGAGUGAGAAGAGAAGAGGUCUCCAGGUCAGAACUCCUAGGAACACCAGCAUUUAAAGAGUGGGCAGAAGAAAAUUCUGGAAAGGAAACAGACUAACUAAGAAACGGGAGAAAAACAAAGUCAAAGAAAGCGAAUAAUUCAAGAGAACAGUCAAUAGAGAACAGCUGGUGCCAGGAGGCCACGUCCCAGUGCCUGGAACAGUGUUUCAUAAACAGCUGUUGCAUGAAAAUAAGUGAAUUGCAUGAAAAAAUAUGUCCACUGAAUUUAACAACAGAGCUCAUUAGUGACCUAGAAAAAUGACUUUGGCCAGGGUGGGAACCAGGUGUGGGGGGAUGAGGAAUAUAUGUGGGGAGAGGAAGUGAAUGUGGACAACCUCUCUAAGAGGUUGGGCUAAAAUCUCAAGUCCCUACUGAGCCCUAAGGUGGCCCCUGCAUACCCCUCUAACUUCAAACACAAGCUGACCUGGCAACAUCACCCCCUUACUCAGUGUGAUUCAGUCACAUGGUCCCACUUUCAGGUCCCCUUCCAAAGUCGGGAUCCUCACGCACACCGUUCCCUCUGCCUGGAGUUCAGUUUCCCCCCACCCCAGCCCAACCCCCACCCACCCAACUCCUCAUCCUGCGAGGCUCAGCUCAAAUGGCACAUCGUCAGUGAAGGCUCUUGACUCCCCAUCUUCUCCCCCAACUCCUCAUGAGGUCGGGUUCCAUUGUUACACUCUCUUGUUGCACACAGCACUGCCCUGGGUCACUUAACACAAGUGCAAUGAAUUAUUCGUGAGGCUAUUUAAGAUUAAUUUCCCCGAUCAACUAGACCAUAAGCUUCCCAACUAGGCUAUAAGCACCCUGAGGGCAGGAACUGAAUCCCAAGACCUAAAACAGUGACUGACACAUAGUAGGCACUCAACAAAUAUUGAAUGAGUAAAUCAAUGGAUGAGUAAGUAAAGCAGUAAAAUAGUAGUUUAAGGAGCUGAGAGACCAAGGAAGGACUUUUUUUUUAAAAAAAAGGAGCGACGAAAGUUUGUUAAAAUGUUCAUGUGAAGGGGCCGGUGGAGAGAGAAAGGAGAUAAUCAAGAAACUGAAAUAAAUAGCCCAGGAGGCUGAACAGGAUGACAGCAGGUUGUGCGAACAUCAUAGGUUGUACUGAAGGGGAACAAAAUUUACCACCCCAAAGUGUGUCUGUUUAACAUUAGCAUUAUUUUAGGCUAUUUUUAAGAAACAAAAGACUCAGAAAGUUUUUCUUGUUACCUCCUUCUUAACUGCCUAAAAGAAUUCAGCUGAAAAAACCAGCCUCGGGAAACAGGCUCUCACCUUAGCAUGACAUGAACUAGGUGGUAGACAGGGAGGAACCUAGAAAAGCCUGUUUGUGGGGCUCCCCUCUGUGUUCUUGUGUUUCUUUGUGGCCAAACACUUGUUUUCCAAAGUUUGCUCCUUUUCACCUACCUGUGAAUUGUCUCCCUUCCCUUUGAAGUCUCUGACUCUCCCCACCCCCAACACCUUCUUUUAUCUUCAGCUGUGGAUGACAUUUAAGGGGAGGGCUUCCACCAUCUUGGUGAGUUACUCAGUUUUCCUGGGUUUCUCUGAUGUAUACAUGUUGUUAAACUUUUGUUUGUUUUUUGCCUGUUAAUCUGUCCCAUGACAAUUUAAUUCUUAGAUCAGCCAGAAGAAUCUAGAAGAGUAGAGGAAAAUUUCUUCCUCCUCUACAGCACUUACACAAACCUGGGUGGUACAGCCACUGCACACCUAGGCUCCAUGGUGCUAAUCUUUCAGACCACCAUCGUAUGUGCAGUCCGUUGUUGACCAAAAGGCCGUUAUGCAGCACAUGACUGUAUUUCUAAUUCCUGAUUAUUCUGUUCUAGGCGUUAUAUAUGUAUGGACUUCCCACCACAGAAGAUGAGGAUUUAGUUCUUUUUUGCCAAGUGCCUUUGCCCCUACCACACACACAAGCCCUCUUCCUGUCCCCAAUUCUUUAAGUUAUUGCACCAUCGUUUUAGAUAGAUUCGUAUCCUGCCUUUAUAUCCAUGACUAAGUAAAUGCUAGUUGCAGAUGAGCCAUGGACCAUCCUGUGAUUACUUUUCCUUGCCUGCACACAUUUUUUGUUUUGUCUGAAGUCAAUAGCUACCUUAUUUUGCUUUCUCAAGGCUAUAACAUUGUCACCACUAAUUCAACUCCAAGUUCUCCUCCUCUAGGUAUAUCUGCAUACAAUGGAGACACCCUCUGUUUCACCCCAUUGAAUAAAUCCUCCUGACCUGCUCCAGGUUGCCCUUGAUUCCAGGUGCAGAGCUGUCACCGUGGUCCUGGUGCUUCCCUUCUCCCCUCUCCCCUGUUGAGUCUUCUGUUUCCAGUCCCCCGUGUCUUCCUCCUUCUUGCUUGACACUCUCAGUUUGCAGGAGUGUAUCCUCCAGUAGCUUCCUGAGAAAGGGUGCGUGUGAAGUAAAAUGAUUGAGACCCUAUGUGACUGACAUGUCAUUCACACAUGACCAGAGGAGAAGAAAAUACAUACACUCAAUCCUCUCCAUAGAGGCAAAAACACAUUUAUAAAAUUCAACAUAAAUUCACAAUUUAAAAAGAAACUCUUAUUGAAUAAUUAUUCACAAUAGCCAAAAUGUGGAAACAACCCAAGUGGCCAUUAACAGUUGAAUGGAUUAACAAAAUGGGGUGUAUCUAUGUGAUGGAAUAUUAUUCAUCCAUAAAAAGGGGUGAAAUUCUGAUAUGUGCUACAACAUGAAUGAAUGUUGAAAACAUGCUCCAGGAAGAGAAUCCAGAAACAAAAGAACAAAUAAUGUAUGAGUCCACUUACAUUAAGUAUCUGGAAUAGGCAGAUUUAUAGAGACAGAAAGUGCUUUAGCGGUUACCAGGGCCUGGGGGGAAAGGGGAAUGGGGUGUUAUUUCUUCAUGUUUGCAGAGUUUCUUUUUGGGGUGAUGGAAAAGUUUUG